GGCCUGGGAGUGCAGUUGACUCCUGUCUGCCUCCCGACCAUGCCUGGAACAGAGGAUGGAUGCACUCCCAUGAGGCUCAGAGAGGAAUAAAGAUGUAGAAGAUGGCCAGCACCCGGGUCCGCUGAUCCCUCACGAAGAGGUCGCCCAAGACAGUGGGCGCAAUGGUGGAGUAGCUGGCAGUGCCUGUGCCCACGGCUCCUCGGAACAGGAAGAAGAGCCAGGAAUACUGGGCAAGCAGGCACAAGAACAGGUAAGCCCUUAGGAAUUAGCGACUGAAUUAAUGAAUACGUUUGUUAUUCUGUGAAGACAAAGAAACCGACACGUUUUUGCACGACUUUCCACAUGGAUAAGUACCAUCACUGCUUCUGUUCCUUAAAUAAAUCGCC